rnacentral:rRNA from 1 species
ACAAUGAAGAGUUUGAUCCUGGCUCAGGAUGAACGCUAGCUACAGGCUUAACACAUGCAAGUCGAGGGGCAUCAGGAAGAAAGCUUGCUUUCUUUGCUGGCGACCGGCGCACGGGUGAGUAACACGUAUCCAACCUGCCCUUUACUCGGGGAUAGCCUUUCGAAAGAAAGAUUAAUACCCGAUGGCAUAAUGAUUCCGCAUGGUUUCAUUAUUAAAGGAUUCCGGUAAAGGAUGGGGAUGCGUUCCAUUAGGUUGUUGGUGGGGUAACGGCCCACCAAGCCUUCGAUGGAUAGGGGUUCUGAGAGGAAGGUCCCCCACAUUGGAACUGAGACACGGUCCAAACUCCUACGGGAGGCAGCAGUGAGGAAUAUUGGUCAAUGGGCGCUAGCCUGAACCAGCCAAGUAGCGUGAAGGAUGAAGGCUCUAUGGGUCGUAAACUUCUUUUUAUAUAAGAAUAAAGUGCAGUAUGUAUACUGUUUUGUAUGUAUUAUAUGAAUAAGGAUCGGCUAACUCCGUGCCAGCAGCCGCGGUAAUACGGAGGAUCCGAGCGUUAUCCGGAUUUAUUGGGUUUAAAGGGAGCGUAGGUGGACUGGUAAGUCAGUUGUGAAAGUUUGCGGCUCAACCGUAAAAUUGCAGUUGAUACUGUCAGUCUUGAGUACAGUAGAGGUGGGCGGAAUUCGUGGUGUAGCGGUGAAAUGCUUAGAUAUCACGAAGAACUCCGAUUGCGAAGGCAGCUCACUGGACUGCAACUGACACUGAUGCUCGAAAGUGUGGGUAUCAAACAGGAUUAGAUACCCUGGUAGUCCACACAGUAAACGAUGAAUACUCGCUGUUUGCGAUAUACAGUAAGCGGCCAAGCGAAAGCAUUAAGUAUUCCACCUGGGGAGUACGCCGGCAACGGUGAAACUCAAAGGAAUUGACGGGGGCCCGCACAAGCGGAGGAACAUGUGGUUUAAUUCGAUGAUACGCGAGGAACCUUACCCGGGCUUAAAUUGCAGUGGAAUGAUGUGGAAACAUGUCAGUGAGCAAUCACCGCUGUGAAGGUGCUGCAUGGUUGUCGUCAGCUCGUGCCGUGAGGUGUCGGCUUAAGUGCCAUAACGAGCGCAACCCUUAUCUUUAGUUACUAACAGGUUAUGCUGAGGACUCUAGAGAGACUGCCGUCGUAAGAUGUGAGGAAGGUGGGGAUGACGUCAAAUCAGCACGGCCCUUACGUCCGGGGCUACACACGUGUUACAAUGGGGGGUACAGAAGGCAGCUAGCGGGUGACCGUAUGCUAAUCCCAAAAGCCUCUCUCAGUUCGGAUCGAAGUCUGCAACCCGACUUCGUGAAGCUGGAUUCGCUAGUAAUCGCGCAUCAGCCACGGCGCGGUGAAUACGUUCCCGGGCCUUGUACACACCGCCCGUCAAGCCAUGGGAGCCGGGGGUACCUGAAGUACGUAACCGCAAGGAUCGUCCUAGGGUAAAACUGGUGACUGGGGCUAAGUCGUAACAAGGUAGCCGUACCGGAAGGUGCGGCUGGAACACCUCCUUU